rnacentral:rRNA from 1 species
AAUCAACGCUGGCGGCGUGCCUAACACAUGCAAGUCGAACGCGAAAGCCCCUUCGGGGGUAAGUAGAGUGGCGUCCGGGUGAGUAACACGUAGGUAAUCUACCUUCGGGUGGGGAAUAACCAGUCGAAGAUUGGCUAAUACCGCAUAAUGCAGCGGCACCUAAUGGUGAUUAGUUGUUAAAGCGGGGGAUCGUAAGACCUCGCGCCUGAAGAGGAGCCUGCGGCAGAUUAGCUAGUUGGGAGGUAAUGGCUCACCAAGGCUUCGAUCUGUAGCUGGUCUGAGAGGACGGCCAGCCACACUGGCACUGACACACGGGCCAGACUCCUACGGGAGGCAGCAGUGGGGAAUUUUGGGCAAUGGGCGAAAGCCUGACCCAGCAACGCCGCGUGAGGGAGGAAAUCCUUCGGGAUGUAAACCUCACAAGCAAGGGAAGAGAGCUCAGGGCCGAAUAAGCUUUGAGUCCGACGGUACCUUG